ACCGCCGACCGGCAAACACCACGCGCACUAUCGCAUACGCGCAAUUUAAACGCGCUCCCUGAGUAUUCAAGAGUGCAUUGUUUUCGUAUAGCUUCGUGUAAAUCAGUGUGUUUUUUAUUAUUAUGGAGUAUUUAAGAACAGUAUAAUUUCAUAUUUUAGUGUGAUACUAUUUAAACAUAGAAGAAAUUUGGCACAUAAAUGAAUAAUGGAACUACAAAAUACAGAUAAUGAUAUUGUUCGGCAAAUGUCAACAUAUAACUUUAAUGCGCCUAUCAAAGUAACUUUAGUUUUUGAUGAAGCAGAAACUAAUGAAUUGAAUAAAUCAGUUGAAAACCGCAUGGAAAAUUGUUCUAAAAGUCCUGAAACGCAAUCAUUGCAAACAAGUAACUUAGAAUCUCUAACAAAAUGUAUUGAUGACUUUUAUUCUUCAAAUGUUUGUUUUGAUACUAUGAACAAUAUAUUUAACACGUUUGAAAUACAAAACGAGACCGAAUUUUUUAGGUCUAAAGAUAUAAAUCCACAUAACAACAAUGUCGUCUCUAAUCAAGGAAUUAACCACAAAAGACCUAAUUGGACAGCACAGAUAACGACACCAUUUCCAAAAGACAGUAUUGUACAAAGUUACACAAAUAAUAACAAUCACCAACAUUCAAAAAAUUCAACAAUUAUGGAUUCAAAAACACAUAAAACAAAUAUAUUAUAUUUAUUAGAUAAAGUAUCUUUUAAUUUGAUAGAAAUUUCAAAAUGCUAUUAUUACACCUUUUUAAAUAAACCACACAACCAUGCAACAUUCCAAAAAGCAAAGCAAUAUUAUGAACAUUUUAAAUACAAUCAUUUUUAUUUUUCGUACCCUACAGUCAACUCUCUUAUAAUACCGCUAGAAACACAUCCAACAUUUAUUGAAAAGUAUAUAAACAGGACAAUAGCACUUGCCUAUAGUAAGUCUUGGUACAACAUUUCAAAUGAUUUUUUAGUCAAAGUAAUUAGAAAUAUGUUAGAUUAUACCAAGUACAGAAACAAAAUAGAGUCUAAAAGCAAUGAUCAAACACGGAAACGACCUUCCACUGCCACAUUUAAUAAAAAGGAUACUCCAAAAUCUAAUUCUGAAAAUGUGAAUAGUAAUAAAAAAAAUGAAGACAAUGAUUUAAUAAAUAUUUUGUCUUGUGGCCCUAAAGAUAGAGAAAUAAAAAUAAGUAUUAAGCCAAAUAUUCUUAACCGUGCUCAUAGUUGUAUAAUUACAAGCGAUCGUAUAACUAAAAGGCCUAAAAAAGACAGCUUGUGCAAUUCCGAACUGCAGAGGACUAUAACUAAAGACAAUAAUCACCAUGGGAUAAGUAGAACACAAACUACAAGACAUUUUCCAAAUGAAAGUAUGUCAUUUGCACCACAAGAAAUAUUGUCUCAAAACAACUUACUCUACAAUGAACGAGAUGUUAUCAUAGUAGAAAGUGACGAUGUGAAUGAUAAUCAUCUUGCAACAUCAAGAUCAUCAGUGUCUAGAGACAGUGGUUUUAACAGCCCUGUCAGUACCAUACAAUAUUCUGAAGACCAAGUGGGUAACUCAAGGAACGGCUUCGAUCUAUUUAUAAGUCCCUCUUUGCAACAUACAACUACAAUGAAUCCUGUCGGCCUCGCACAACCUAGUAAUUGCAAAAUUUGCUGCUUAACCACGACUAAUAUGUGCUUAGGAUGUUACGGAGAAUAUUAUUGUACUUUAAACUGUCAGAUGAAAGAUUGGCAUCGCCACAAGCUAACUUGUAGAAAGUAGAUUCGUUUUAAUGAAAAUACAAUAAAUUUAUUCAACAUAAGUAUUAACAAUAUUUUUAUACAAAAAAAA